rnacentral:misc_RNA from 1 species
GAUGAAGAACGCAGCGAAAUGCGAUAAGUAGUGUGAAUUGCAGAAUUCAGUGAAUCAUCGAAUCUUUGAACGCACAUUGCGCCCCUUGGUAUUCCAUGGGGCAUGCCUGUUCGAGCGUCAUUUGUACCUUCAAGCUUUGCUUGGUGUUGGGUGUUUGUCUCGCCUUUGCGUGUAGACUCGCCUUAAAAUAAUUGGCAGCCGGCGUAUUGAUUUCGGAGCGCAGUACAUCUCGCGCUUUGCACUCAUAACGACAGCGUCCAAAAGGACAUUUUACACUCUUGACCUCGGAUCAGGUAGGGAUACCCGCUGAACUUAAGCAUAUCAAUAAGCGGAGGA